GAGAAAAUAAGUGGCAUUACAGUUUAUCAUGUUUAUGUCAUGGACACAAAGACCAUCUAGGAGUUUUGCAAAUGCCUACUUUGGACAGUCAAACGACAAGUAGGAAUAAAAAAAAUCUACUUUAAUGUUGAAUAUAUUAAAUUGAUAAUAGAUAUGGGGAAUGUGUCAAAGAGACAAUUAAGUAGAAGAAAACAGCCAAAGGACACCAAUGCUUCUUAUCAC
rnacentral:lncRNA from 1 species